GGGUUUGAUUUUUACAUAUUGGUUUUGUAUAUUGAAAUAUGGGUAUGGAGCUAGAUUUUUACACUGUGUGUUGGUGCUUGAUUUGAAGGACGGUGAUAGAGGUUGUGGGUUUGCCGAACAAUUCCUGAGUUUUGAGGACGGCGACGGAAGUUGUGGGUUUGUUGCAGAUCUGGAUUUUCUUUAUAAAAAAACAAAUAUCGUAUGAAAAAGUUAUAGACGUUUUAAAUUGAAGGGGAAAAUUGGCAUGUGUCUUGCAUGUGGAAAGAGAAAGUCAAUAAAUGUAAGAUUCCCUUUAUACCCUUCCAUUAGUUUUUUCCCUAAAACUAAUCUCAACCCUCCAAAUCUAACAUCAUGGACUAGAAUCCUUCUUAUUCAUUUUGCCCUUUGUAUUUGAUCUUAACCUGAUAAUUAUAAUCAGCACAUAUACUAGUAAAUACGUACACAACUAGGUUAUAACCCGGAAAUUUUCCGGGUAGGAAAAUUUAAUUUACAACUAAUAAAAGUAUAAAAAUAACACUUUUAACAUCUAAAGUAUCAUCUUUCCAUUUUCUCCACCAUAAAUUUUUAAUUUGGUUUCUUAAACUUUUUCUUGUUGUAAAGAGCCAUAAAAACAUACAAAAGCAAGAAUGUAUAUUAAUCAUGUAUAUUUUUUUAGGAUAACGGAUUAUUUUUUUUAAAAUUUGUAUACACGUAUAGACAAUACCUCACUGUCACUCUACACUGUAAAUCAAACUCUUUUGACCCGACUCAUAUCUAUUACCAACCUUACCCCACCCACAUCAGCUACAACAAAAAACAUCAACAAAAAAAAAAUACAUAUUUGGAUUCUUAUAUUAUGUUACAAUGGCACCUACAUCAGCUACAACAAAAAACAAAACCAACUAACACUAAUAUAUAAACAUGGAAAAAAGUAAACUACAAAUCCAACCCAGAUGGCUCAUUUCGUUAAAAAAAAUAAUCCGUGAAACAUUAAUAUACAUUACUCAAUGGAAAAUCCAUCUUUGCAAAAUGCAAUUAGCCCCACCAUCUGUGCACGGUGGAUUUAGAAAUGAAAUAAUUGUGAAAUUGUGAAAAAACCUAGUGGAGGUGUUAUGAUGCUGGUAUGGUGCUGAAAGGUGGAUGGUGGUAGUAGUGAAAGGUGGAGAUAAUGGUGGUAGUGGUGAGGGGUGGGAAGAUGAAGUGGUGGGAUGGGUGGUGGGGUGUCCCGGAGAAAUAUAUCAAUAUAAUUAAGGGAUAUGUUUGAUGUUCAGGCAAAUGUGGGGAUACUAAUUUCUUUCUUGUGGAAGUAGGCCUCCACCAAGGGUCCGCACUAAGCUUGUUUCUUUUUGUGGUAGUGUUGGACGAGCUAUCAAAGUCAAUUUAGGAGGUUGUUCCGUCAUGCAUUUUUUUGGUUGACUAUAUCGUGUUAGU
rnacentral:lncRNA from 1 species